UACGUAGGGUGCGAGCGUUGUCCGGAUUUAUUGGGCGUAAAGAGCUCGUAGGCGGCUUGUCGCGUCGGAUGUGAAAGCCCGGGGCUUAACUCCGGGUCUGCAUUCGAUACGGGCAGGCUAGAGUGUGGUAGGGGAGAGUCGAAUUCCGUGGUGUAGCGGUGAAAUGCGCAGAUAUCAAGGAGGAACGACCGGUGGCGAAGGCGGAUCUCUGGGCCAUUACUGACGCUGAGGAGCGAAAGCGUGGGGAGCGAACAGG
rnacentral:rRNA from 1 species